rnacentral:rRNA from 1 species
CUACGGGAGGCUCCAGUGAGGAAUAUUGCACAAUGGGGGGAACCCUGAUGCAGCAACGCCGCGUGGAGGAUGACGCAUUUCGGUGUGUAAACUCCUUUUAUAUGUCAAGAAAAUGACGGUAGCAUAUGAAUAAGCGCCGGCUAACUCCGUGCCAGCAGCCGCGGUAAUACGGAGGGCGCAAGCGUUACUCGGAAUCACUGGGCGUAAAGGACGCGUAGGCGGGUUGAAAAGUCAGGUGUGAAAGCCUACAGCUUAACUGUAGAACUGCACUUGAAACUCUCAAUCUAGAGUAUGGGAGGGGCCGAUGGAAUUAGUGGUGUAGGGGUAAAAUCCGUAGAUAUCACUAGGAAUACCUAAAGCGAAGGCGAUCUGCUGGAACAUUACUGACGCUAAGGCGUGAAAGCGUGGGGAGCAAACAGGAUUAGAUACCCCUGUAGUC